rnacentral:rRNA from 1 species
AACUCUGUUUCUAUAGUGAAUCUCUGAGUAAAAAACAUAAAUGAAUCAAAACUUUCAACAACGGAUCUCUUGGUUCUGGCAUCGAUGAAGAACGCAGCGAAAUGCGAUAAGUAAUGUGAAUUGCAGAAUUCAGUGAAUCAUCGAAUCUUUGAACGCACAUUGCGCCCUCUGGUAUUCCGGAGGGCAUGCCUGUUCGAGCGUCAUUUCAACCCUCAAGCCUGGCUUGGUGAUGGGGCACUGCCUGUUACAGGGCAGGCCCUGAAAUCUAGUGGCGAGCUCGCCAGGACCCCGAGCGUAGUAGUUACAUCUCGCUCUGGAAGGCCCUGGCGGUGCCCUGCCGUUAAACCCCCAACUUCUGAAAAUUUGACCUCGGAUCAGGUAGGAAUACCCGCUGAACUUAAGCAUAUCAAUAAGCGGAGGA